rnacentral:lncRNA from 1 species
UUUGCCUCUGACACGGUACCUGGCAAUGUUCAGGACAGAGGCUAAUCUGUGAGCCUAGGACCAGAGUGCUGACGAGGUGCAGCAGGGCCACACUGGACCCAGGGCGUGGACAUGGAGAAACUCAUCAUUGGAACUCAUCUAAGCUUAUUUUGAUCAAAGGAAAGGCUGUAAAGGAUUAGAGGGGAAAAGUUGGACUUUCGUUCACACAUGAGUGCAAGGACAAGAUCUCCUGAGGAUCACUCUUCGUGGGGGGACUCAUGACUUCCCUAAAUACCAAGUUUCCAGUUCAGUUAGAACUUGGAAUUCCAACAGACUGAAGUAGAUGACCCAGUGACAUACUGAUAAGAUCCCUGCACACCCAUUCUAACCCAACUUUUGUGUGGUCGCAAAAUCCAAAAUGUCUCAUAGUGGAAAAUUAUCCUGGUGGAGUCAAUACAGGUCUUAACUUUGA